rnacentral:lncRNA from 1 species
ACCUCUAAAUUGUGCAUUUUUGCAGUUUCCGUCCAGUUUUUCUGCUUCUUGAACUUCUUUAUCUGCCCUCUUGGAGUUCUCUGCACUAAUUGUGUCUUUACCACUACAAUUUGCAUCAAUGCAGUUCUCCAACUGUUUUAGAGUUGGGUGAGUGAUGUCCCAGGAUUUAUCAGAUUGUUCUGUUUCUUGAGCAUCUUCAUCCAUCGUCUUAGAUUUCUCAGUAACAGCUUUCUCAUUAACAAGGUUCUCCAACUGUUUUAGAGUUGGGUGAGUGAUGUCCCAGGAUUUAUCAGAUUGUUCUGUUUCUUGAGCAUCUUCAUCCAUCAUCUUAGAUUUCUCAGUAACAGCUUUCUCAUUAACAAGGUUCUCCAACUGUUUUAGAGUUGGGUGAGUGAUGUCCCAGGAUUUAUCAGAUUGUUCUGUUUCUUGAGCAUCUUCAUCCAUCGUCUUAGAUUUCUCAGUAACAGCUUUCUCAUUAACAAGGUACUUUGCACUGUUGCAGUUCCCAUCAUUGCACUGCCCCUCAUUGUUAACUUCUGCAUAACAGGGAUUUUCCAGCAUUAGAUAGCUAUUGAUCUCUAUAUUUCCCUGUUC